AUUGAACGCUGGCGGCGUGCUUAACACAUGCAAGUCGAACGCAGUGGCGAACGGGUGAGUAAUAUGUGGGUUACCUGCCCUCCUUUUUGGGAUAAGCCUUGGAAACGGGGUCUAUUACCGUAUAUAGGGGGAUGGGCUCGCGGCCUAUCCGCGUGUUGGUGGGGUGAUGGCCUACCAAGGCGGUGACGGGUAGCCGGCCUGAGAGGGUGAACGGGCACAGUGGGACUGGGCAGCGGCCCAGAGUAGUACGCGGGGCAGCAGUGGGGGCUAUGGCACAAAGGGCGAAAGCCCGAUGCAGCGACGCUGCGUGGGGGAUGAAGGCUUUCAGGUUGUAAACCUCGUGCGCUAGAGAACGGGUAGGUGGCGAAGAAUCGACGGCUAACUACGUGCCAGCAGCCGCGGUAAUAC
rnacentral:rRNA from 1 species